rnacentral:rRNA from 1 species
GAUGAACGCUGGCGGCGUGCCUAAUACAUGCAAGUCGAGCGAACGGACGAGAAGCUUGCUUCUCUGAUGUUAGCGGCGGACGGGUGAGUAACACGUGGAUAACCUACCUAUAAGACUGGGAUAACUUCGGGAAACCGUAGCUAAUACCGGAUAAUAUUUUGAACCGCAUGGUUCAAAAGUGAAAGACGGUCUUGCUGUCACUUAUAGAUGGAUCCGCGCUGCAUUAGCUAGUUGGUAAGGUAACGGCUUACCAAGGCAACGAUGCAUAGCCGACCUGAGAGGGUGAUCGGCCACACUGGAACUGAGACACGGUCCAGACUCCUACGGGAGGCAGCAGUAGGGAAUCUUCCGCAAUGGGCGAAAGCCUGACGGAGCAACGCCGCGUGAGUGAUGAAGGUCUUCGGAUCGUAAAACUCUGUUAUUAGGGAAGAACAUAUGUGUAAGUAACUGUGCACAUCUUGACGGUACCUAAUCAGAAAGCCACGGCUAACUACGUGCCAGCAGCCGCGGUAAUACGUAGGUGGCAAGCGUUAUCCGGAAUUAUUGGGCGUAAAGCGCGCGUAGGCGGUUUUUUAAGUCUGAUGUGAAAGCCCACGGCUCAACUGUGGAGGGUCAUUGGAAACUGGAAAACUUGAGUGCAGAAGAGGAAAGUGGAAUUCCAUGUGUAGCGGUGAAAUGCGCAGAGAUAUGGAGGAACACCAGUGGCGAAGGCGACUUUCUGGUCUGUAACUGACGCUGAUGUGCGAAAGCGUGGGGAUCAAACAGGAUUAGAUACCCUGGUAGUCCACGCCGUAAACGAUGAGUGCUAAGUGUUAGGGGGUUUCCGCCCCUUAGUGCUGCAGCUAACGCAUUAAGCACUCCGCCUGGGGAGUACGACCGCAAGGUUGAAACUCAAAGGAAUUGACGGGGACCCGCACAAGCGGUGGAGCAUGUGGUUUAAUUCGAAGCAACGCGAAGAACCUUACCAAAUCUUGACAUCCUUUGACAACUCUAGAAAUAGAGCCUUCCCCUUCGGGGGACAAAGUGACAGGUGGUGCAUGGUUGUCGUCAGCUCGUGUCGUGAGAUGUUGGGUUAAGUCCCGCAACGAGCGCAACCCUUAAGCUUAGUUGCCAUCAUUAAGUUGGGCACUCUAAGUUGACUGCCGGUGACAAACCGGAGGAAGGUGGGGAUGACGUCAAAUCAUCAUGCCCCUUAUGAUUUGGGCUACACACGUGCUACAAUGGACAAUACAAAGGGCAGCGAAACCGCGAGGUCAAGCAAAUCCCAUAAAGUUGUUCUCAGUUCGGAUUGUAGUCUGCAACUCGACUACAUGAAGCUGGAAUCGCUAGUAAUCGUAGAUCAGCAUGCUACGGUGAAUACGUUCCCGGGUCU